rnacentral:rRNA from 1 species
UACGGGGGGGGCAAGCGUUGUUCGGAAUUACUGGGCGUAAAGGGCUCGUAGGUGGCCAACUAAGUCAGACGUGAAAUCCCUCGGCUUAACCGGGGAACUGCGUCUGAUACUGGAUGGCUUGAGAUUGGGAGAGGGAUGCGGAAUUCCAGGUGUAGCGGUGAAAUGCGUAGAUAUCUGGAGGAACACCGGUGGCGAAGGCGGCAUCCUGGACCAAUUCUGACGCUGAGUGAGCGAAAGCCAGGGGAGCAAACGGG